rnacentral:rRNA from 1 species
GACGAACGCUGGCGGCGUGCUUAACACAUGCAAGUCGAACGGAAAGGCCCGGCAUUUGUGGGGUGCUCGAGUGGCGAACGGGUGAGUAACACGUGAGUGACCUGCCCUUUUCUUUGGGAUAACUUCAGGAAACUGGGGCUAAUACCGGAUAUGAGCUCCUUCUGCAUGGGGUUGAUGUGAAAGAUUCGGCGUUUGGGGAUGGACUCGCGGCUUAUCAGCGUGUUGGUGAGGUAGUGGGUUACAAAGGCUUUGACGGGUAGCCGGACUGAGAGGGUGACCGGCCCCAUUGGGACAGAGAUGCGGCCCAGACUCCUACGGGAGGAAGCAGUGGGGGAUAUUGCAAGAUGCGCGGAAGCAUGAUGCAGCAACGCCGCGUGCGGGAUGACGGCCUUCGGGUUGUAACCCGCUUUCGCCUGUGACGAAGAGUGAGUGACGGUAAUGGGUAAAGAAGCAACGGCUAACUACGUG